GGCGGAGUGGCGGAAUGGCAGACGCUGGGGAUUUAAAAUCCCCUGUCCAUAACGGACGUGCGGGUUCGAGUCCCGCCUUCGCUA
rnacentral:tRNA from 1 species